UAGGGAGACCAUCUGAUAGUCGACCGAACCUAAACAAUAGGUCGUUGUCAGUCAUCCCUGGUCGUUCGAGGCAUAGAUGUCAAAGCUUUCAAACUAUUAACUGGUUCGGAACUCGCGGGCUAUUAGCUCAGUUGGUUAGAGCGCACCCCUGAUAAGGGUGAGGUCCCUGGUUCAAAUCCAGGAUGGCCCACCUGGAAAAAAGUGAUGAAUUGUCAGUAAUGAGUAAUGGAUAAUCAAUGAUUAAUUCAGGAUUAAUUCAGGACUCAUACAAUCAAAAUCAGAACUUACUUAGUGGGGGUAUAGCUCAGUUGGUAGAGCGCCUGCCUUGCACGCAGGAAGUCAGCGGUUCGAGUCCGCUUACCUCCACUCUCACUAACUAUUACCACCGCCAAAAAAACCAAAAAAAAUAGAAAUCAGCACCCAGACUAACUUGGUCAAAAAAGAAGUCGGAAUGCUGGAGUCUAGAACUCUAGUCAGAACCUUGAAAACUGCAUAGAAAUUAAGUCAUCAAAGCGUGUCAGUCAUCCGAGAAAUCGGAGUAUCUGACCAGCGACCACCAUGAAAAAAUCAAGU
rnacentral:tRNA from 1 species